rnacentral:rRNA from 1 species
UGGGGAAUAUUGCACAAUGGGGGAAACCCUGAUGCAGCGACGCCGCGUGAGCGAAGAAGGCCUUCGGGUCGUAAAGCUCUUUUAUAUGGGAAGAUAAUGACGGUACCAUAAGAAAAAGCCCCGGCUAACUACGUGCCGGCAGCCGCGGUAAUACGUAGGGGGCUAGCGUUGUCCGGAAUCACUGGGCGUAAAGGGUUCGCAGGCGGAAAUGCAAGUCAGGUGUAAAAGGCAGUAGCUUAACUACUGUAAGCAUUUGAAACUGCAUAUCUUGAGAAGAGUAGAGGUAAGUGGAAUUUUUAGUGUAGCGGUGAAAUGCGUAGAUAUUAAAAAGAAUACCGGUGGCGAAGGCGACUUACUGGGCUCAUUCUGACGCUGAGGAACGAAAGCGGGGGUAGCAAACAGG